CCUCAUCUCUAAUUAAAUGGCCAUGUCUCAGUGCUAUGUAAUCCUGAAGUUUGUAGUUUGGUGAGGCACCAAUAUUCUUUGGCAGAGAAGGCGUUUUUUUCUUAGAGCUUUCAAAUUUGCCUGUACAGCAGUGAGCAAAGAUUCCAGAUCAUAAGGUGCAGAGGACAGAAGAUCUUAAUUCUGCUAGUGAAAUAUAGCUUAUUACAAAUGUAGGCCAGAUUGUGUUUUUAUAUGGACAGAAGACCUUAGCAGAGAGCCUUGAUAACGUGAGUGUGUGUUUAUAUACACACUACCUCGGUAGUGAUUAACGUCCAGGAGCUUACAUCUCUUAGCAGCUCUUAAUCUCUGCCAUGUGAAUCGUUCUGCAGUAUCUUUUUACUCUCUGCAAUUUGUAAUAGUUUCAUGCAGUGACAAUUGCACUUAAUCACACCAUAAGGUGAAGUUAGUCUGCAUUCUUGUUAAAUGUAAAGGGGAAGAGAGAGGGGGAAUAUUAAAAAGAUAGAUCUAGAUUCUUCAAAUGCCACUAACAGCUUAGGUUGUGUGACCCACAUCUCCCAUGGGACAAAUAAUCUAGACCACAAAGAGAGCACCCGUUUCCCCCAGUGCUCCAGCAGAUUCCUGCCAGAUAGAGUGAAUAGUAGCGGACCUGUGUUGUUACUGACCACAGCUAGCAUUGAAUAUUUAAGAUGUUCAAACUUUGUUACAAUAUAAUCAUAAAUAAAAAAUACGAUGGCUGUAGUGGUUUGGAUAGACAGAAGCCUGUUCUGCCAGCAGACCCAUCUUUGGAUAUUACUGCAUGGAAGCCUCUAUUCCACAGCUUUCCUGCAGUGUGGGAUAACAGCUAUUUGCUGCCAUUAUGACAUCUGUGAUUGCACAGCUGCUUGACUAUGACACUCCAGUAGUGUGAAGACAGACUUCCAGGUGGGCAGCAUAACUUCACACUCCAGCUUUGGGUUUUUAAAAACAUUUCACAAUUGUGAAGCGUUGUGCAAAAUUUUAAAAUACACAAAAAUUCAGCAAAGGAAGAUAACAGCAUAUUGUCACAGUAGCACCCAGACUUCACUAUACCAGACCUGUUUGUGUUGCAUCAAAUAAGAACGGAAUUGCUGAAAGAAGAAAGUCUAUGCCUCACUGAAAUAUAACCAGGUUAGCAGAAGCUGGGGCUAACAACAGGAGCUCAGACUAUUCUGUGGAUUCAAACUGCUGACCCUCUGGACAGCAAGUUCUGCAGCUUAGCGGUUUAACCUACUGCACUACCGCAGCCCCU